CUGGAGAGGAUAGAAGCAUGUCGGAAUGUGGGGUCUAAUUCUCAUAAAGCAAGACUAAUAGCUGAAGCUUUAGCUAGACCACAAACCUGUUUUCACUGUGGUGAGACAGGACAUAUAAAAAAGAACUGCCCACGAUUAAC